GGCGCUAGCUACAGGCUUAACACAUGCAAGUCGAGGCUCAUCGGGAAGAAAGCUUGCUUUCUUUGCCGGCGACCGGCGCACGGGUGAGUAACACGUAUCCAACCUGCCCUUUACUCGGGGAUAGCCUUUCGAAAGAAAGAUUAAUACCCGAUAGCAUAAUGAUUCCGCAUGGUUUCAUUAUUAAAGGAUUCCGGUAAAGGAUGGGGAUGCGUUCCAUUAGGUUGUUGGUGAGGUAACGGCCCACCAAGCCUUCGAUGGAUAGGGGUUCUGAGAGGAAGGUCCCCCACAUUGGAACUGAGACACGGUCCAAACUCCUACGGGAGGCAGCAGUGAGGAAUAUUGGUCAAUAGGCGCUAGCCUGAACCAGCCAAGUAGCGUGAAGGAUGAAGGCUCUAUGGGUCGUAAACUUCUUUUAUAUAAGAAUAAAGUGCAGUAUGUAUACUGUUUUGUAUGUAUUAUAUGAAUAAGGAUCGGCUAACUCCGUGCCAGCAGCCGCGGUAAUACGGAGGAUCCGAGCGUUAUCCGGAUUUAUUGGGUUUAAAGGGAGCGUAGGUGGACUGGUAAGUCAGUUGUGAAAGUUUGCGGCUCAACCGUAAAAUUGCAGUUGAUACUGUCAGUCUUGAGUACAGUAGAGGUGGGCGGAAUUCGUGGUGUAGCGGUGAAAUGCUUAGAUAUCACGAAGAACUCCGAUUGCGAAGGCAGCUCAUUGGACUGCAACUGACACUGAUGCUCGAAAGUGUGGGUAUCAAACAGGAUUAGAUACCCUGGUAGUCCACACAGUAAACGAUGAAUACUCGCUGUUUGCGAUAUACAGUAAGCGGCCAAGCGAAAGCAUUAAGUAUUCCACCUGGGGAGUACGCCGGCAACGGUGAAACUCAAAGGAAUUGACGGGGGCCCGCACAAGCGGAGGAACAUGUGGUUUAAUUCGAUGAUACGCGAGGAACCUUACCCGGGCUUAAAUUGCAGUGGAAUGAUGUGGAAACAUGUCAGUGAGCAAUCACCGCUGUGAAGGUGCUGCAUGGUUGUCGUCAGCUCGUGCCGUGAGGUGUCGGCUUAAGUGCCAUAACGAGCGCAACCCUUAUCUUCAGUUACUAACAGGUCAUGCUGAGGACUCUGGAGAGACUGCCGUCGUAAGAUGUGAGGAGGGUGGGGAUGACGUCAAAUCAGCACGGCCCUUACGUCCGGGGCUACACACGUGUUACAAUGGGGGGUACAGAAGGCAGCUAGCGGGUGACCGUAUGCUAAUCCCAAAAUCCUCUCUCAGUUCGGAUCGAAGUCUGCAACCCGACUUCGUGAAGCUGGAUUCGCUAGUAAUCGCGCAUCAGCCACGGCGCGGUGAAUACGUUCCCGGGCCUUGUACACACCGCCCGUCAAGCCAUGGGAGCCGGGGGUACCUGAAAUACGUAACCGCAAGGAUCGUCCUAGGG
rnacentral:rRNA from 1 species